rnacentral:rRNA from 1 species
ACGGGUGAGUAAUACAUCGGAACGUGCCCGAUCGUGGGGGAUAACGGAGCGAAAGCUUUGCUAAUACCGCAUACGAUCUACGGAUGAAAGCAGGGGACCGCAAGGCCUUGCGCGGACGGAGCGGCCGAUGGCAGAUUAGGUAGUUGGUGGGAUAAAAGCUUACCAAGCCGACGAUCUGUAGCUGGUCUGAGAGGACGACCAGCCACACUGGGACUGAGACACGGCCCAGACUCCUACGGGAGGCAGCAGUGGGGAAUUUUGGACAAUGGGCGAAAGCCUGAUCCAGCCAUGCCGCGUGCAGGAUGAAGGCCUUCGGGUUGUAAACUGCUUUUGUACGGAACGAAAAGCCUCUUUCUAAUAAAGAGAGGUCAUGACGGUACCGUAAGAAUAAGCACCGGCUAACUACGUGCCAGCAGCCGCGGUAAUACGUAGGGUGCGAGCGUUAAUCGGAAUUACUGGGCGUAAAGCGUGCGCAGGCGGUGAUGUAAGACAGAUGUGAAAUCCCCGGGCUCAACCUGGGAACUGCAUUUGUGACUGCAUCGCUGGAGUGCGGCAGAGGGGGAUGGAAUUCCGCGUGUAGCAGUGAAA